rnacentral:RNase_P_RNA from 2 species
CGAGUCAGCUAAGCAGUCGCUGUACAGUUUACUGUAUAGAGGAAAGUCCGGGCUUCACAGAACGCAGCGCCAGAUAACAUCUGGACGGUGUGAACCGAUGGAAAGUGCCACAGAAAAUAAACCGCCUUUUUGUAACACAAGAGGUAAGGGUGAAAAGGUGCGGUAAGAGCGCACCGCGUAAUGAGUAAUCAUUGCGGCAAGGCAAACCCCGCUGGAAGCAAGACCAAGUAUGAAUCCGUUAACGCUGUUCGUGUUGGAUUCGGGUGGGUUGCUUGAGGUGAAUGGCGACAUUCAUCCCAGACAGAUGAUUGCUCUCGACAAAACCCGGCUUAUCGGCUGACUCAUUUU